rnacentral:lncRNA from 1 species
AUCUAACAUCACGUGUUCUGCCAAUUUUUUUAGAUUCUUUUGUUUAUUGAUUUGGGUUUUAACAGCCCGAUGGUGAACCCAAUUUAUACAUAAGACGUCAAGUGUCGCCAAAUCCCAUUUAAAGCUUUCUUCUUCCCGACACAAGCAUGCUCUUCGUCUUCCUCUGCCUAGGGUUCCUACACUCCAUUACUUUUGGAGGCGACUAGUUGAACCUCUAUCUCUAUUCCAAUUAAUUUUUGUUACUCUCUAUACUUCUCAAAUCAAUAUCCAUGAAACUCUUUAUAUUCCAUUAUCUCUCGGUAUCCCCCU